CAGAGGUCAUGUACACUGUGGUCAACUUUGUGGAUGAUGAAGAGGUUUCUGGGUAAAGAUGAUAGAAAUAUAAUGAAGUAACAGUGAAAGCUAAAACAUCAGACUGAUCCAGACACUGAAGAAAUUGAUGUCACUGCAAUCUGGCCAAAAUGAUACAACUAUAUUGAAGUAGCCUGCUGUAAUGAAGCUGCAGAACAACACAGAGACUCUUGAGGACAUCAACACAGAAAAUGAAGGCUCCAAAGAGAUGUCUGUCCAGAUGAGGGUGCAUCAAUGUUACGUUUGCUGACAAGUAUAUGCUUUACAAUGUAAAACCUAACAGUUAACUUAACUCAAACCAUUUAAGGAAAUCGGUUGCCUUAACCCAU